ACUCAAAGGAAUAGACGGGGACCCGCACAAGCGGUGGAGCGUGUUGUUUAAUUCGAUGGUAAGCGAAGAACCUUACCCAGGCUUGACAUCCUUGGAAUUUCUCCGAAAGGAGAGAGUGCUUUAUUGAGCCAAGUGACAGGUGAUGCAUGGCCGUCGUCAGCUCGUGUCGUGAGAUGUUUGGUUAAGUCCAUCAACGAGCGCAACCCCUGUGAUUAGUUGGAUUUUUCUAAUCAGACUGCCUCGGUAACGGGGAGGAAGGAGGGGAUGAUGUCAGGUCAGUAUUUCCCUUACGUCUGGGGCUACAAACACGCUACAAUGGCCGGUACAAAGGGCUGCCAAGUCGCGAGACGGAGCAAAUCCCAUCAAAGCCGGUCCAAGUUCGGAUAGGAGGCUGAAACUCGCCUCCUUGAAGUCGGAAUCGCUAGUAACGGUAGGUCAGAACACUACCGUGAAUACGUUCCCGGGUCUUGCACACACCGCCCGU
rnacentral:rRNA from 1 species